CCGUAUCUAUGCAAAGUCACAGAGCUGCCGGGAGGAUUUAUAGACUUUUAUUCCACCUGCUGAUAGGAGCUGCUGCUGCUGCUCAACACGUGGUCCGUGGACUCCUCAGCGUCCAUUAAAGCAGCAAUAGAAGGAAGCGGGCGAGCUGCUCCAUGAACCGGGACGAGGGGGACUCCAUCCUCCAGAGACCACCGGACGGCGGGGGGCGUGGCCUAUCUGACAGAUUCUGACAGAUCUGUCAGACUGGUCACCUGAUGAAAAAAGACACGUCAGCACACGUCAGAUGACGCUAUGAAGAAGACUGCAGAUGCAGCUGAAACAUGUCAGCUAAGUCUGUCUGGUGAAAACGUGACCCAAUUAAGACACGAAAACUGCCAAAAGUUCAACAGCUUGACACUCCAGGUGCCGUCGUACUUUAUUUCAG